rnacentral:rRNA from 1 species
GACGUAGGGCGCGAGCGUUGUCCGGAUUUAUUGGGCGUAAAGAGCGUGUAGGCGGUCUGGUAGGUCCGUUGUGAAAACUCGAGGCUCAACCUCGAGACGCCGAUGGAAACCCUCAGACUAGAGUCCGGAAGAGGAGAGUGGAAUUCCUGGUGUAGCGGUGAAAUGCGCAGAUAUCAGGAAGAACACCCGUGGCUAAGGCGGCUCUCUAGUACGUGACUGACGCUGAGACGCGCAAGCGUGGGGAGCGAACAGG